GUGGGGAAUAUUGCACAAUGGGGGAAACCCUGAUGCAGCGACGCCGCGUGAAGGAAGAAGUAUCUCGGUAUGUAAACUUCUAUCAGCAGGGAAGAUAGUGACGGUACCUGACUAAGAAGCCCCGGCUAACUACGUGCCAGCAGCCGCGGUAAUACGUAGGGGGCAAGCGUUAUCCGGAUUUACUGGGUGUAAAGGGAGCGUAGACGGACUGGCAAGUCUGAUGUGAAAGGCGGGGGCUCAACCCCUGGACUGCAUUGGAAACUGUUAGUCUUGAGUGCCGGAGAGGUAAGCGGAAUUCCUAGUGUAGCGGUGAAAUGCGUAGAUAUUAGGAGGAACACCAGUGGCGAAGGCGGCUUACUGGACGGUAACUGACGUUGAGGCUCGAAAGCGUGGGGAGCAAACAGGAUUAGAAACCCUUGUAGUCC
rnacentral:rRNA from 1 species